rnacentral:rRNA from 1 species
CCUACGGGAGGCAGCAGUGGGGAAUAUUGCACAAUGGGGGAAACCCUGAUGCAGCGACGCCGCGUGAGCGAAGAAGUAUUUCGGUAUGUAAACCUCUAUCAGCAGGAACGAGACAAGACGGUACCUGUCUAAGAAGCACCGGCGAACUACGUGACAGCAGCAGCGGUAAGACGUAGGGGGCAAGCGUUAUCAGGAAGCACUGGGUGGAAAGGGAGCGUAGACGGCUGGGCAAGCCUGAAGUGAAAGGCGGGGGCCCAACCCCCGGACUGCUUUGGGAACUGGACGGCUGGAGUGCAUGAGAGGUAAGUGGAAUUCCUGGUGUAGCGGUGAAAUGCGUAGAUAUUAGGAGGAACACCAGUGGCGAAGGCGGCUUACUGGACUGUAACUGACGUUGAGGCUCGAAAGCGUGGGGAGCAAACAGGAUUAGAUACCCUUGUAGUC